AGUGCCUAGAAAAAGAAAAGUAUUGGCUCUGUGGGCAGCUUGAUUGUUGUUUUGUGAAUUUUAUGGAAGUCCAGAAUGAAUAAACAAAAAGUAAAGAAGAUGUCUCUCAAUAAAGUUGAAGACACACUGGCACUUCAGUGGGCAAGAGUUGCAAAUCGUGGGGAAGAGAAGAGAAAGACUGAGAAAAUCAAAAUUAUUCAGAGGGCUGCGGCACUCAGCUGUUCAAAUGUGGAUAGGGAGAAGGCAGCUCUCAAGAAAUAUUUGGAGAAAAUUAAAACUUCCACGAGACACCUGAGUCAAGACAGUCACCAUGAGUCAAACAUCAGUAAGUGUACUUGACUGGAUCUUCAAUGCAACAAAUGACUUUAGUUCUAUUAACAACUGCUCUUCACUGGCAUGAUCUUGGAGAUCCUGCUAAUUCCCUACAGGAUUCUGCCAGGUUCCUCUGAACUUCGCCCUCAAGAAAUGCUUCUUUAAUUCACUAUUUCUUCCCAGAGAUCAUCAUUGUAGGAGGACUUCUUGUACUCAAUAUAUAACAAAUGUGUAGUAAACUAUAAGAACAAACACAA